ACACUGACGUCGCGACGCAUAUCAAUAAGCGGAGGAAAAGAAACUAACUAGGAUUCCCUUAGUAACGGCGAGUGAAGCGGGAAGAGCUCAAAUUUGAAAUCUUCAAGGUUCUACCUUGACGAAUUGUAGUUUAAAGAAGUGUUUUCUGUUGGAGUUUUGGUAAAAGUUCUUUGGAAUAGGACAUCAUAGAGGGUGAGAAUCCCGUAUUUGACCAUUUCUUCCAGCUGUGUGAUACACUUUCAAAGAGUCGGAUUGUUUGGGAAUGCAGUCCAAAAUGGGUGGUAAAUUUCAUCUAAAGCUAAAUAUUGGCGAGAGACCGAUAGCGAACAAGUACCGUGAGGGAAAGAUGAAAAGAACUUUGAAAAGAGAGUUAAACAGUACGUGAAAUUGUCAAAAGGGAAGCGUUUGACACCAGUGUUGUUUUCUCGAAAAUCAAUUAAAAAUGACAGGAUUUUGUGCUGUAUUGACUUUAUCAGCUUUCUGCACUUUUUUCUUGUCUUUUUUAAUGCACUUUUCGUUUAACAAGUCAACAUCAAUUUCUUUUGCUGUAAAAGAGUCAUUGGAAGGUGGCUUUCAUUUCGGUAGAAAGUGUUUAUAGCCUUUGCCUUCUGCAAUCGGAGAGAUUGAGGUCUGCAGCGUAGAUCCUUCGGGGUUAGAUACAUUUGUGCUAAGUUAUAGCCUUUCAUAGACAACUUGUUGACUAUGAUCAGUCAUGUAGCUUACUCGCUUAUGCUAUUUUACCUACGCUUAGGAUGUUGACGCGCGUGUGUGCGUG
rnacentral:rRNA from 1 species